CUGACCCACUUGACUAACGCGUACAUCUCACAGCUCCAACUGUUCCAAGGACACAUAACCACUGGUGCACCAUUAUAAACUGCUUAGAUGUUUAUGAAGAAGUUCUAGUAACUAUCACUUAAUGAUCUCUAUAGCUGACUAAAUAUCAGGAGAUUUUUUUUUUAAACUAUGUAAUAUAUUUCAAUGAUAGAGAAUAAAACAUAGCAAUGGGUAAAACCCUGUUAAAGAUCACACCAGAACCCAGAUGUUUAUUGCAGGACUUGCUUCCAAGACACUGAUAUUGUUUGCUUCAAACUAAGUGAGCUUGAAAAUGCAUAUGUACUACAAAAGAAUUCCAACAUUUCUCCUCAAAGUCUUAUGAAAUGGCUUAAGAGUGGAAUAAAAUCUGGGAUGAGACAGAAAUUGUCUAAAAGAAUUUGCAGCAGAAAAAAUAACAAUAUAUCUUAUUUCAUCCUCUUGGUUUAACAACAUGUUUACAAUGCUACUUUUCAGGAACAUUUUGUGGUUGUACGUAUACUUCUGUGGAAUGUGUAUUAUAACAAUAAUGUUUGCAGCCAAGCCUAAAAAUCAUCAACUAAUUUCUACUUUUUAAAAAUUCUGUAUUCAUUAGAUAGUUUCAGAAGUGAAGAGUACCCCUGAAUGCAAAUAUAUUUUUUGAAGAGAUAAUAGUUAUACUUCAAAACUACUUUUAAACUAAGUUUAAAAGAUCAUCCAAAUUACUUUGAUCUGGAAACUGCUUUAAAAAUCUCAUAGCCAAAGAUCUUCCCCCACCUCUUCUGUAGAACAGGACUGAAAAUGGGAAUCUUUUAAGCAAAUAUCUUCUUCUUUUCUUAAAUAAGAAAAAUGAUGUGUGGACAUGAGGAGUGUAUUUAUCUUAAGUUCACAGUACCCUGAAAAAUACCUUUGCCUUUGGGAUUAGAACUGUCAAGAAAAUUAUGUUGCAUAGAAUAAUCAGAGAUUUAGACUUCUGAGCUUUAUAGUAAGUUGAAAUAAGAAAUUUCUGAAACAUUUCAGUGAGAGGAUAUUGAAAAUUAACGGACAGAUAUGUCACAACAGCACUGUGUUCUUAUUCUGUCUUAAUUUUAUACAUUGAAUGAUACAAAUGUAUUUCAAUGUGUAACAAAGUUUAUCAAGAUUAUAUUGAAUUGUAAGAAUGUAACAUUAGAAAAUUUUAAUAUUAUACUGAAGAUCAGAAAUCUCUUCAUCUUGAGUAAAAGCAUAUAUCAGUAAAAUAUUUGUUUGCAAAGUAUUUCAGUUCUACAGAAAACAUCUUAUAAAGAGUAAUUUGUUAGUCUUUGUUUUCUUUAAUCUAAAAAUUUCUCCAGGUUGGAAGGGAUACUUAAACACACCUUUUGAUUACAUAAAAAAGACAAUUUAUUGCUAAAAAUAACUAACCUCUUUUUAUUCCUUGUUAAGAUCAAACAAAUGUGGUUCAGAGAUCUGCAUAUAACACAGUGCAUGACAGUAUUAUGUCAUCGGCUUGCCAACAGUUGAUAUUCUUUUUGACAAAAACACCAAUGUUCUUCAAGAGAUGUUUACAAACACAAGGAUUUUUAUUCAGAAACACUGUGCAGAAUUAUAAAAAUGUUAUGAAUGGCCAGUAAGUAUUACAUUGAAAAAAAAAAAAAAAAAGAGAAUGUUAAUAAAAUAUAUCUGAAAAAUUCAAAGGAUACAAGUGAGAUUACAGUAUUUUUCUGUCUACAGAAGUGCAAUUUUGUUUUUGUUUACUCACACAAGAGACAUUAAUGCCAAAUUUCCUUUGUGUUGCAUCCACAUUCAGUUCAUAAGCCUUCAUAGAACUUACUAAAUAUAUAUCAAUUUUUUGUUUAGUUAUGAAUGAAAUUGAAAGUGCAGAACAACCUCCUUUCAAAUGAAAACCAAUUUAAAUUCUGAAAGUAUAUUACAAUGUAGUUAGAUUUUUCAUAGAAGAUGAAGGAACAGGACAACAGGUUUGUUUUAGACUGUUGCUUUUGAGACACCUACAUUCUUUUUCUGUAAAAUCUGAACACCUAUUUAGGCUGAGUCAAGUACCUUAGUUAAAACUGAAUAAGUAAUGAAGCAUUUCUGGGUACAAAUACUUGAUCUGCGUUAAAUUAAAUUAAUUAGAAAAUUUUGAAGAUAUUAACUUUGUAAUUAAUUUACAUUGUUUAAAAGACCUAAAAAUCUGACAUUUUAGUAAAUAAAAAACUGGCAAUUUUGAAUCAUCUGUUCUCCAAACCCCCACUUUUAUUUUUUUUAGCUUUAUAGAACUCAAGAGUUACAUAUUAUCUUUUUACAGUCAUAUUAUCAACCAUUUUUCAAACCUCUACUACUUGUUUACUUAUAUAUUGACUUACUAUGCAAAGAUUUCAUUUUUCUAAGCUUUUAUAACUUUGAUGAGUUUUUCAAAAUAUUUUGUUAUACAAUUCUGUCAGAAGUGACUAAGUCAUGCGCUUUUCAUUUUUAUAAGUUGUACUGAUAUAAUUGAUGACAGCAAUAUUCAGGCAAAGAUGUUGGCUAAUGGAAAACUCUAGUUGGAAGAGUUAAAUACAUAUAACUGUACAUGAUU
ensembl:lncRNA